ACCUAGUGAUGUGGGCAUUUUUGGAGCAGGUCCCUAAAGCGCUCCUAAGUCUUCUAAAAAGGGUUCCCUAUCCAUCUAUGAGAAACUUGUGAUGGAUCUCCUAAACU